rnacentral:rRNA from 1 species
GACAGAGGGCGCAAGCGUUGUUCGGAAUUACUGGGCGUAAAGCGUGCGUAGACGGUUAUUUAAGUCGGAUGUGAAAGCCCCGGGCUCAACCUGGGAAUUGCAUUCGAGACUGAAUAGCUAGGGUACGGUAGAGGGAAGCGGAAUUUCCGGUGUAGCGGUGAAAUGCGUAGAUAUCGGAAGGAACAUCAGUGGCGAAAGCGGCUUCCUGGACCAGUACCGACGUUCAGGCACGAAAGCGUGGGGAGCAAACAGG